UGAGGAAUUUUCCGCAAUGGGCGAAAGCCUGACGGAGCAAUACCGCGUGAGGGAUGAAGGAUUUUGGUCUGUAAACCUCUUUUCUCAAGAAAGAAGUUCUGACGGUACUUGAGGAAUAAGCAUCGGCUAACUCCGUGCCAGCAGCCGCGGUAAUACGGGGGAUGCAAGCGUUAUCCGGAAUCAUUGGGCGUAAAGCGCCUGUAGGUUGUUUAAUAAGUCUGUUGUUAAAGCCUAGGGCUUAACCCUAGAAAAGCAAUGGAAACUACUAGACUAGAGUAUGGCAGGGGUAGAGGGAAUUUCUAGUGUAGCGGUGAAAUGCGUAGAUAUUAGAAAGAACACCGGUGGCGAAAGCGCUCUACUGGACCAUUACUGACACUCAGAGGCGAAAGCUAGGGUAGCAAAAGGG
rnacentral:rRNA from 1 species